CCUACGGGUGGCAUCAGUGAGGAAUAUUGGUCAAUGGACGAGAGUCUGAACCAGCCAAGUAGCGUGAAGGAUGACUGCCCUAGGGGUUGUAAACUUCGUUUAUAUGGGAAUAAAAUGUUCCACGUGUGGGAUUUUGUAUGUACCAUAUGAAUUAGGAUCGGCUAACUCCGUGCCAGCAGCCGCGGUAAUACGGAGGAUCCGAGCGUUAUCCGGAGUUAUUGGGUUUAAAGGGAGCGUAGGUGGAUUGGUAAGUCAGUUGUGAAAGUUUGCGGCUCAACCGUAGAAUUGCAGUUGAAACUGGCAGUCUUGAGUACAGUAGAGGUGAGCGGAAGUCGUGGUGUAGCGGUGAAAUGCGUAGAUAUAUCGAAGAACACCAAUGGCGAAGGCAGUUCACUGGACUGCAACUGACGCUGAGGCUCGAAAGUGUGGGUAGCAAACAGGAUUAGAUACCCUAGUAGUC
rnacentral:rRNA from 1 species